rnacentral:rRNA from 1 species
AGGAGGCAGCGAACCACGGUAGGGUCAGCGACUGGGGUGAAGUCGUAACAAGGUAGCCGUAGGGGAACCUGCGGCUGGAUCACCUCCUUUCUAAGG